UUAAUCUGCACCCUCACCCACACCCCCCACACCCCCAGCAGGCCUCUGUCCCUGGCCGAACCCCGACACGGGGGGGAAGGGGGCUCCUCCCGGGCCGCUGCCGCUCAGCCCUGGCACGGCCGAACCCGGGAGCGGUGCCAGAAGGGACGGGACGGGGUUCACUGAGUGCUGCCCCCCCCCGCCCCCGAGGAAAGAUGCUACUUGCAAAGUGCUAAACAGUGUUCCUGCCGGCCGGGCCCCGGGAGGGAACGCUGCGUUAGAUUACCCCAAGCCCAGGCGCAGCCCCGGCAGGUGAACGGCGUCCUGGGGGGGUCGGUGCUGCUCUCCCCGGCUCUGCCCCCCAACAAGACGGUGAAGGAGAUCGAGUGGAGCUUUUCAUCCGGCACCGGCACCACCAUCCAAGUAGCAGAAUUCGGCCCCGACGGCUUCGAGCGACCAGAUCCCAAGGACCGGUUCAAGGACCGGCUGGAGAUGGUCAACGAGACGGCGCUGAGGAUCGGGGUCCUGGAGCGGGGUGACAGCGGGGUCUACGGGGCUCGGCUUAAACUGCACCCGGCGCUGGUGGAGGAUCAGUCCUUCCACCUCUCCGUCUACGAGCUGCUGCCGCACCCCAAAAUCCAGAGCUGGCUGCUUUGGAAGAGCCCCGUGGGACCGGAGGCACCAUCGCCUGGAUGAAACCCCGCGGGGAACCGGGGUGGGGUGUCAGGGUGCAUCCCCUCUGCAGCGGGGUAUUCCACGUUGGGGCGCAGCCCGGACCCCCCCACACAGCCCGACACAGGGCUUGGCGUGCCGCGGAGGAGCAGAGCCGAUCCACGGACCUGGCCAGCGUGUGCUGAGCGGAGGUGAGGGCGGCACGGAGGGAUCAGAGGGGAUGGGGGGGUCCCUGGACCUGCCGGACCUACGCCGCCACACCGGAGUUUGCCGAAGUGCCUCUGCGGCACCGUCGUCCCUGGUGAAGUGGGACGCGGUGACAGCUCAGACCUCUGUGCCCGCCUUUGCCGACGCUCCCCGCUUCGUGCCCAGUUAAACCUGCAGCCUCUUCCCACGGCCGGUGCUGGCCGCAGGCAGCAGCUCUGGCAGCGGCACGUGCCACGACGACCUUGGGACUCAUCCUGUGUCCCUACAUCCCCGCAGAGGACCGAGCCGGUGGCAUUUCCCAUCACCGUGGCCGGGAACCGAUGGAGCCGGCGGCUCUGCUCAGUGUCUCCCAAAGUCGCGACCCAGCGCCCGACGCCUUCAGCCGGACGAGCCGCAACGAGAUGCUGCCCCGUCCCACCACGGCGGAUAUCCGGCACAGCGACGCUUCGCCUCGCCGAUGGACAUCCCAGCCGUGAAACCCCUCAGCACCGGCACGCAGGCAGGAGGAUUCGGCAGGAUUGGAAGCCCCUGCCUCGCACGAGAGCCGGUGUCACCCCCCUGCGGGCAUCUCCGGAUGGACGGCCUUCGUGCCAUCCUCCUGCUUCUCCUCUUCCUCGGCUCCCGGAGGACCGGCCGGUUUUCCCCGUCAGCUGGAUAUUUCAACUCGGUGACUUUUCAUUUCCCCUCUGCCCUCGAGAGAGGAGGAACUGGCAGGGCGGGCAGCAUCUCCAGCCCCUGCCCAGCUGCCCGCUCCCUUUUCGGGGGGGUGGGGGGGGGGGUGUCCCCAUGGACAAUUUUGGGGCGUUCACUGAUCAUAAACAGCCCGUGUCCCUCCCCACACCGGCUCUCGGUUUCCCCAGCCCUUUGAGGAUCCUCGUUUGAAGGUGCCCCAGGGGAAGGGUUGGAGUUAAUAAUCCCUGGGGUGCAGGUUAACGCCUUUGCUCAGAGGUGGGGAGCAGCGGAUGCCAUUCCCCCCCCUCCCCCGGUUCUGUCCUGCCGCGGAGGCUGCUUCCCCCCCUCCCUGUUUUCCACUUUGAGUUGCUGGAGGUUUUAAAUAAAAAAUAAGC